rnacentral:rRNA from 1 species
GACGAACGCUGGCGGCGUGCCUAAUACAUGCAAGUAGGACGCAGUUGCGAACGGGUGAGUAACGCGUAGGUAACUACCUAUUAGAGGGGGAUAACUAUUGGAAACGAUAGCUAAUACCGCAUACUAGUAGAUGUACCUGCGUUGUAUUAGCUAGUAGGUAGGGUAAUGGCCUACCUAGGCAACGAUACAUAGCCGAGGGUGGGGGGGGGACGGCCAAACUGGGACUGAGAAACGGCCCAGAAGACUACGGGAGGCAGCAGUAGGGAAUCAUCGGCAAAGGGGGGAACCCUGACCGAGCAACGGCGCGUGAGUGAAGAAGGUUUUCGGAUCGUAAAGCGAUGUUGUUAAGGAAGCGGUACUUAAACAGAAAGGGACGGCUAACUUCGUGCCAGCAGCCGCGGUAAUUC